rnacentral:rRNA from 1 species
CAUUAAAAGGAGGCAGCAGGCGCGCAAUUACCCAAUCCUGACUCAGGGAGGUAGUGACAAGAAAUAACAAUAAACCGGCUUAUGCCGGUUUAAUUGGAAUGAGUACAAUUUAAACAUCUUAACGAGGAACAAUUGGAGGGCAAGUCUGGUGCCAGCAGCCGCGGUAAUUCCAGCUCCAAUAGCGUAUACUAAAGUUGUUGCAGUUAAAAAGCUCGUAGUUGGAUUUCUGUGGGGACGGAGCGGCCGGCCGCAACACGCGGUUCGAGCUAGCGCUUUCCCUACAUCCUGCCGCGAACCGUGCUACCAUUAGUUUGGUGGCGCCGGGGAUCGGCUCGAUUACUUUGAGAAAAAUAGAGUGUUCAAAGCAGGCCACACGCCUUGAAUAAGUUAGCAUGGAAUAAUAACUAAGGACUUCGGUUCUAUUUUGUUGGUGUUCGGGACUGAAGUAAUGAUUGAUAGGGACAGUUGGGGCGGUCUGUAUUCCAAAGCGAGAGGUGAAAUUCUUAGACCUUCGGAAGACAAACAGCUGCGAAAGCGUUCCGCAAGGAUGUUCCCUUUGAUCAAGAACGAAAGUUGGGGGAUCGAAGACGAUCAGAUACCGUCGUAGUCUCAACUAUAAACUAUACCAACUAGGGAUCGGCCAACGUUAUUCUAUACCGACUUGGUCGGCACCUUAUGAGAAAUCAAAGCAUCUGGGUUCCGGGGGGAGUAUGGUCGCAAGGCUGAAACUUAAAGGAAUUGACGGAAGGGCACCACCAGCCGUGGAGCCUGUGGCUUAAUUUGACUCAACACGGGAAAACUUACCAGGUCCAGACAUAGUAAGGAUUGACAGAUUGAUAGCUCUUUCUUGAUUCUGUGGGUGGUGGUGCAUGGCCGUUCUUAGUUGGUGGAGUGAUUUGUCUGGUUAAUUCCGUUAACGAACGAGACCCCAGCCUGCUAAAUAGCGCGCGUGAGCUUUGCUCGCGGCGAGCUUCUUAGAGGGACUAUGAUGCGCGAUAGCACAUGGAAGUUUGGGGCAAUAACAGGUCUGUGAUGCCCUUAGAUGUUCUGGGCCGCACACGGGCUACACUGGCGCCUGCAACGAGCAUAUCAGCUGGCCCGAGAGGGUCUUGGCUAAUCUUUUGAACCGGCGCCGUGCUUGGGAUUGACCUUUGCAAUUGUUGGUCAUGCAACGAGGAAUGCCUUGUAAACGCGAGUCAUCAGCUCGCAUUGAAUACGUCCCUGCCCUUUGUACACACCGCCCGUCGCUCCUACCGAUGAAUGUUCCGAUGAAAUUUUCGGAGAGUGCCUGUGAACUUGGCUCUGCCUUGCGAACGGGAAGCUCAAAGUCACUUAAAUCGAACCUUUAG